CGCUUAACCGACUGCGCCACCCAGGCGCCCCGAAAAACUUCUGACUAGCUGGUUUGGAGGAAGGAUUGAAUGAGAAGAAGCUAAAAUCAAGGAAACCAGUCAUUUGAUCAGAAGGUAGGGUAACUAGGUGAACAGCAAUAAAAGUCACUGAAAUGAAAAUACAGAGGAUUGGCAAACUCAGAGGACAGAGAAAAUG